CCUACGGGAGGCAGCAGUGGGGAAUAUUGGACAAUGGGCGCAAGCCUGAUCCAGCAAUGCCGCGUGAGUGAAGAAGGCCUUCGGGUUGUAAAGCUCUUUUGUCGGGGAAGAAACGGUGGGGGCUAAUAUCUCCUACUAAUGACGGUACCUGAAGAAUAAGCACCGGCUAACUACGUGCCAGCAGCCGCGGUAAUACGUAGGGUGCAAGCGUUAAUCGGAAUUACUGGGCGUAAAGCGUGCGCAGGCGGUUUUGUAAGUCUGUCGUGAAAGCCCCGGGCUCAACCUGGGAAUUGCGAUGGAGACUGCAAGGCUUGAAUCUGGCAGAGGGGGGUAGAAUUCCACGUGUAGCAGUGAAAUGCGUAGAGAUGUGGAGGAACACCGAUGGCGAAGGCAGCCCCCUGGGUCAAGAUUGACGCUCAUGCACGAAAGCGUGGGGAGCAAACAGGAUUAGAUACCCUGGUAGUCCACGCCCUAAACGAUGUCUACUAGUUGUCGGGUUUUAAUUAACUUGGUAACGCAGCUAACGCGUGAAGUAGACCGCCUGGGGAGUACGGUCGCAAGAUUAAAACUCAAAGGAAUUGACGG
rnacentral:rRNA from 1 species